AUUGAACGCUGGCGGCAUGCUUUACACAUGCAAGUCGAACGGCAGCGCGGGCUUCGGCCUGGCGGCGAGUGGCGAACGGGUGAGUAAUGCAUCGGAACGUGCCCAGUAGUGGGGGAUAGCCCGGCGAAAGCCGGAUUAAUACCGCAUACGACCUGAGGGUGAAAGCGGGGGACCGAAAGGCCUCGCGCUAUUGGAGCGGCCGAUGUCGGAUUAGCUAGUUGGUGGGGUAAAGGCUUACCAAGGCGACGAUCCGUAGCUGGUCUGAGAGGACGACCAGCCACACUGGGACUGAGACACGGCCCAGACUCCUGAGGGAGGCAGCAGUGGGGAAUGUUGGACAAUGGGGGCAACCCUGAUCCAGCCAUGCCGCGUGCGGGAAGAAGGCCUUCGGGUUGUAAACCGCUUUUGUUCGGGAAGAAAUCCUCUGGGCUAAUACCCCGGGGGGAUGACGGUACCGGAAGAAUAAGCACCGGCUAACUACGUG
rnacentral:rRNA from 1 species